UACGGGGGGGGCAAGCGUUGUUCGGAAUUACUGGGCGUAAAGGGCUCGUAGGCGGCCAACUAAGUCAGACGUGAAAUCCCUCGGCUUAACCGGGGAACUGCGUCUGAUACUGGUUGGCUUGAGUGUGGGAGAGGGAUGCGGAAUUCCAGGUGUAGCGGUGAAAUGCGUAGAUAUCUGGAGGAACACCGGUGGCGAAGGCGGCCUUCUGGACAGUGACUGACGCUGAGACGCGAAAGCGUGGGGAGCAAACAGG
rnacentral:rRNA from 1 species